AUAUAUAUAUAUUAGUUUUUAAUAAUAUAAUAUGUGAUUGGAUGGAAAUAUAAAAUAUAUAUCGAUUUGAGAAAAAAUCGGAGAAAAAAAAAAAAAAAAAAAAAACUAAAGAAAAGUCCUAGUUCCCUGAGCACUUUCCUUCAAAACCUCCUUCAAAUAUCAAAAGGAAAAGUCAGCCCGAGUCCACAACCAGGAUGCGUAGGCGUGCAGUCUCAUUGGUGAAGACGAAAAGCAAAAAUCAUCCUUUCUAGUUGGAAGCCAAUGAGGCUCACAUCGUCUACCUAUUUUGAAUUGUUAUAUGUAGCUGGCUUCCAAUUUCUCCCACAUCGACUAGUUACAAAAUGAAUUACAUGUUUAUGAGGCGAAGCGUGGCAGAAGAAGAGCGUCCCCUUGGGGACAUCCGAUAAAAUUGGAACGAUACAGAGAAGAUUAGCAUGGCCCCUGCGCAAGGAUGACACGCACAAAUCGAGAAAUGGUCCAAAUUUUUUUCGUUAAAUUUCGCUCUGCGAUUUUGCGGCUAUGCCUCUCAGUAUCUCACUCUCUUUGAUCAAGUUCUCUUUCAAUCGUACUGGUGCUCAAUGGGUAAAGCUGAGAUCUUUCAUGUCUUAUUUGGGAUUCCGCGCGAGUCAUUGUGAAACUAGGGUUUCUUUUCUGCUUCUCCAAAUUAUAAUUUUAAUUUAGUACAUAUUGAAGUUAGGGCAGUUUGGCAAUUACGAGUGUUGAUGUUGUUAUUUUGAAUAUCGAAGCUCGAGAUGUUUCUCUACAGUUGAAGCUUUUGAGGUUUUUGUGUCACGAGGUGUUGUUUUAGAACAUUAGGACUGGCUAGUUAUUCUUUCAGAGGGAGGAGAACAUAGAAAUGAUUUUUGUAGGUGUGGAAAUCUUCUUUACUGGCUCGGAGAUUCGAGGGAUGUUCCAGAAUAUUUAUUUUCCGGUAUUAAAUUACUCUUUCUGACUAUAGCUUCUUAUCAUCAUUAGGAGUGUUCAUUCAUAAUGAAGGAGUACGCACACGCACAGGUCCGCAGAACACGUGAUCACUUUUUCUGCUCUCAUUGAAGCUCACCAAACCAACUGAUAGGAGUUGGACUUGAGUCUGUCUUGAAUGUCAUAAGAGUGAUUAUAGGCAGAACCAUUGCCUUGGCUUGUCAUUGUCAAAUUCUGAAUGAUCAUCCCUGCGUUGGCCCAACUCAUGAAAUUUCCAAAACAUGAGUCAUUAGCAUCCCCUGAGUUGGCCCCAACUGUGGUUAGGAUUCCAGAGGGACCGCCUGAGAUGAUCUCGACAGCUGCCCUGCCUUUAGGGACCAAAUAGUGCUUAGAGUCUAUGUAUUUCACUGUUCCUAUGACGGACCAUUGCGGGAGUGAAGAUUGCAUUUCAUUUGGUUAAUCAUUUAGUAAAGGGGAUGCUAAGUGCACCCACGGUCUGCACCGACUGUGCAUUUUGUGUGUGUUUCCAAUACACGAAGCAUUAGCAUCCCCCAUUGUGAACUCCAGAGUACAGGUAGAAUCCUUGGUGAGCAGUGCUGUGGUUAGGAUUCCAGAGGGACCGCCUGAGAUGAUUUCGACAGCUGCCCUGCCUUCGGGGACCAAGUAGUGCUUAGAGUCUAUGUAUUUCACUGUUCCUAUGACAGACCAUUGCGGGAGUGAAGAUUGCAUUUCAUUUGGUUCUUCAUUUAGAAAAAUCCUCUUUCCGGAGCUUUUGAGAAAUGCUGGACCCACCUCAAAUCCACUGUUCACUAGCAGGUUGCCUGCAAUUGAACUGGCAAAAUUUAUUGCUAAACGACCACAAGUCUUGGUGCCCCUUAUGGUACAAGUAGUUGUAGUAUGUGUGCUUCAUCUGUGCAAAGAUUUAAGGCGUAAACUGACUCUAUAAGCAAGCAGUUUUUGUAGGUACAGGUGCUUGUUCUGACUAAUGCUUAAAAAUUGCUUUAGUCAAUUGAUUUUGUGGAUGGGGUAUCGUAUCAGAAAAAAAAACGUGGAUUGGGAGCAUUGUUAAGAUUUUAAGAAGCUGCUGAGAAUAAUAUUGCAACAACUAGUGAAUAGAUAGCUAGAAUCAAAGAUUUAGCUAUGCAACACUCGGGUUUGGUUUAGUUAGAACUUGGAACUUGGAAGUGGUUCUAAUGAUUUAUUUAUUUAUUUUAAUAUUAUUCUUACAAUAUGGAUUAUUAGCUGAUUUUGUUUAAGCGUGGCUCUCAUAUUUCCUUUACAUAUUGUCAUUGGGAACAGUUUUCAACUUUUCACUCUCCGGAACGAGGAUGAAUGUGGGAGAACAUAGUCCAUGUAGUUCCUGUCGGAUUUGAAAGCCUGGUAGAUUUUGCUACCCUGACCCAACAUGGUCAAAUUCCCGGCAAUGAGGUGUCGGGACCUGAAGUUACAUACCAAACUGUUCCACUAAAUGACCAACUGGGGAUGCUGUUGUAUUUUUUUUCUAGACCAAAUAUGGAGCGGUGGCGUUUGCAGCCAUUAUUUUUUCUGUGAAGAAAAUUUUGCCACUAGUGGUAAUCUUUUCUCAGCUCUAAUUGAAUUUUCUUGUGGAGUUUGGAAAAAUGCCAACUUUCCGAUGACAAUGCUCUGCAACGACAUGAAAAGCACCGCAAGAGCCAUGGAAUGAAACUAUGAGAGAGGAAAGGAGCGAAAUACCUUGAUUUGAAAAUCUUCAACGCAGUGGCAAUUGCUAUAAUUUAGUACAAUUUUGAUUGCAUCCUUGUUUUGCCCACGUUUCUGUACAUGUGAACAUUGUUAAUUUAACGUGAAAGAGCGAAAUGCCUUGAUAUGAUUUCCUACUGCCAUAAUGCCAAGAAUAAAUCUCAAAUGCA